CGGAAACAUUGCCACAGUUAGCUUUAUCUGUCUCUAACAGUUGCUAAUUGCCAGCCAUUCCAGCUAUAGCUUGGAAUGCUAGUUUCCCAGAACAAUAUGACUGGAUAGGAAGUUCAUGGACUGUGUGUCACGUUUUGAUAUUAUACAUUGCGUGGCGAUAGACCAAGAAUGUCGAAGAAAGCCAACAUU